rnacentral:rRNA from 1 species
UACGUCGGCCGCAAGCGUUGUCCGGAAUUAUUGGGCGUAAAGCGCGCGCAGGCGGUCCUUUAAGUCUGAUGUGAAAGCCCACGGCUCAACCGUGGAGGGUCAUUGGAAACUGGGGGACUUGAGUACAGAAGAGGAAAGUGGAAUUCCACGUGUAGCGGUGAAAUGCGUAGAGAUGUGGAGGAACACCAGUGGCGAAGGCGACUUUCUGGUCUGUAACUGACGCUGAGGCGCGAAAGCGUGGGGAGCAAACAGG